AAUAGAUACCCGGGUAGUCCUAGCCGUAAACGAUGAACACUAGGCGUAGUCGGUAUCGACCCCGGCUGUGCCGUAGCUAACGCAUUAAGUGUUCCGCCUGGGGGAGUACGGCCGCAAGGCUAAAACUCAAAGGAAUUGACGGGGGGCCCGCACAAGCAGCGGAGCGUGUGGUUUAAUUCGUCGCAACGCGAAGAAUCUUACCAGGGCUUGACAUGUGGCGGAAAACGGCGGAAACGUCGUCCUCCCGCAAGGGACCGUCAUGCAGGUGUUGCAUGGCUGUCGUCAGCUCGUGUCGUGAGAUGUUGGGUUAAGUCCCGCAACGAGCGCAACCCCCGUGGCAUGUUGUAUCUCUCAUGCCAGACUGCCGAGAGAAACUCGGAGGAAGGUGGGGAUGACGCCAAGUCAGCAUGGCCCUUACGUCCUGGGCUACACACACGCUACAAUGGCCGGUACAACGGGUUGCCAAACCGCGAGGUGGAGCUAAUCCCUUAAAGCCGGUCUCAGUUCGGAUUGCAGGCUGCAACUCGCCUGCA
rnacentral:rRNA from 1 species